CUGGUGCCGACCGUAUCCCUCGCUCCAAAAUUUUCAAACCCUAACCCUAUUUCAAAUUCCACGCUCUCUCCUCUCCAUCUGAUGCCUCAUUUGGUCAUGGAAGUCCGCCUCCUCGUCCUGUCCACGGGUGACGGAAAUAACCAUCAUAACGGUGCCGUUAUUUUUAAAGCAAGAACCGAAACGGAUCUUCAUACUUGGGCCGCUUGGCCAUCAUCGAUGGCCGCAUGCUUACUAGAAGACAAACACAUCGUCGAAUGUUUUCUAACUCUCCUUCGCUCACGGUUGUACACCUUCUAAAGCCCUAAAGCUAACCCUCCACUCCUCUCCCGGGGACACCUCCGAAGCCCUCCCCCAUCUCCAUCCAUGGCCACCAAAAAGCGCAAGGCCGACCAAGAAGACGACUUCCUCUCCGCCCACAACAACGAUUCCGAUCACCAAUUCCAAAUCCUAGACUCGGCCACCGCGGCGGAGGGGGCCGCGGCGCCACCGGUGGAGGAAGACGAGGCCGACGACGAGGAUGAGGACGUGGGGAUGCUCCUGGAACCGCUGACGAAGGAGCAGCUGAUCUCUCUCCUUCGGUCCGCCGCCGCCUCCGACCCGGCCACCCUCGCCGAGAUUCACCGCCUCGCUGACCUCGACCCCGCCCACCGGAAGCUCUUCGUCCACGGCCUUGGCUGGGAAACCACCUCCGACGGCCUCCGUGCCGCAUUCGCCAGCUACGGCGAGAUCGAGGACUGCCGCAUCGUCGCCGACAAGGCCACCGGUCGCUCCAAGGGCUACGGCUUCCUCCUCUUUCGCCACCGCCGCUCCGCCCGCCAAGCCCUCCGCCAACCCCAGAAGCUCAUCGACAACCGCAUGACCGCCUGCCAGCUCGCCUCCACCGGGCCCCCCUCCGCGACCUCCCAUCCCCCGCCGCCCCACCAUUACACCGCCUCCUUCAAUCCUAACCCUAACGCCACCCCCCAGGACAACCUCCCGAGGAAGAUCUACGUCGGGAACGUCCACUCCAACAUCGACGGUGCCCGCCUCCACGCCUUCUUCUCCAAAUACGGGGAGAUCGAGGAGGGCCCCAUCGGUUUCGACCGCCAGACCGGGAAGCCCAAGGGGUUCGCCCUGUUCGUCUAUAAAACCGUGGACGGCGCUCGGAGAGCCCUCGAAGAGCCCAACAAGGACUUUGAGGGAUACCUGCUCUACUGCCAGAAGGCAACCGAUAGCAAGGCUAAGGCAACAUCAGGGGCUGCAGCCGUGGCGGCGGCCCUUCCAUCCAAUGCUGCCACCACUCCAGACGCGCCGUUGAGCAUGGGUGGUGCCAAUGGGUCUGGAUAUGGCGGCACGCUGCCGGAUAUGGGUUUGGCGCAACAGGCUGCGAUUUGGGGGCAAGGGCUUCUGGGUCUCGGCGGGACACAAGCCUUUGGACAGGGGAUGCAGCCGAAUGCUGCAGUGCUUGCAAUGCUGGCGGCAGCUGGACAGAAUCCAGGAUCUUUCGGGAUCAAUCCCACCGUGCUUGCGUCACUGAACCCUGCUUUGGCCUCGGCAUUGGGUGCCGGAGGCCAGCAGGCUGUGCCUCCGUCUGCAGCCCCUCAGACAGUGCCGUCACAGAAUUACGGAAUGGGGAACAUGGGGUAUCAGAAUGCUGGGUUUCAGGGACCUCCAGGGUUUCAGGGGCCUCCAGGGUUUCAAGGUCCUCCGGGGUUUCAAGGUCCUCCGGGAUAUCAAGGUACUCAGCUAGGGUCUCAACAGGGUGUUGGUGGAGGUGGGGGUUCUUAUCAGGGUGGGCCUGUUGGACAGGGCCCGAUUCCAAGGCCACCAGUUGGGCAAAUGGGUGGAUAUGCACCGCAUUAGUAGGUUCAACCGUGCAGCAUGGCUUACAUUUCAUCAUUUGAUCUCUGAACUUGUACAUUGAUAGAUGAGGUUCCAUCAACAUUGUGCAUGCUGUAGACACACUCUUGCUGCAUCACUUUUGCUCUGUGAUGGGCGCAAGUACCCAUAAGUUGUGCACCUAUUGGCAUUCGUUCUGAUGGCACCAAAACAGGGGUAUAGGCUGAGGAACAUGGCAUCAUCACUUUACUAGAAUGUGGGCUCUCAGGGGUCUCUAGGUUUCAUGGUCCCCCCACUGGUUUCUCAAUAUAUGGUGUUUUUUCCCCGUUACGUUCUUUUGAGAGAAGGGGGCCUUGUGUGGUGGGUGGUUUGGUGGGGAAUGUAGUUGGUGGUUCAUAUCAGGGGCACCUUUUGUGACAAAGCCCAAUGCCAACCCAAGGGUGGACAUGAACCAAACCAUGUAUCUAGUUCUUGCAAAAAAGUGACAUGACUGCUACAAUAUCAUUCAGGUUCUACUGGAGGGUGGAUUUGGACAGAUCAAUAGCACCAUUCAGUCCAUAUAUCCUGUCUUCCAUCGUCGAUAAAUGAACCUCUAUCCUGUAGAUUCACAAGAUUGAGGAGCUUGGGCGUUAUCUGGUGGUUUCUUUGAAGGGAGUUAGAUUGAAGCAAACAGACUUACAGUUCAUCAACAAUCAAAUCAAUCAUCACCUGGACUCAUGGAAAUGAAGAAACUUAUCCUUUGCUAGCGGUGCUACCUCGAUCAAGUCCAUGCUAUGUGCCUCACGUUUUCCCAAUCAGUUUCCUAAACUGGUUGAAAGGAUGAUAAGAUAUUUUUUAUGGGGAAUGGUCCAGCCGGUCCAAGUUGCUUACUAUUUCUUGGGAUGUUGUAUGUCAACUGCCAUCACAGGGUUUGCUUGGAAUUCCAAUUUGAAGACUGGGUGGGAAGCUUUGUUGAGUAAAUCUGCAGGUAGAUUAACUCUGAGCGAUGAUUGUUUGUGGGCUCGCUUGGUGGCAUCUAAGUAUUCAUUUGCUGGUGAUUGGUCAACCUAUGAACCUAAAAGACAGUGCUCAAGAGUUUGGAAGAUCAUCUCCAUGGUAGGUAAGCAUAUUGCCUUUCAAUUCUGUUGGUCCAAUGGGGAAGGAAGCGUAAUAGAUACUUUCACUGAUCCGCGGUUUAGUUGGAUUCCUAUUUCAAAAGUGGUCAUCACUGUUAAUGUGGAGGUGCUUACCGCCAGUCCUGCAGUGAAGUCUUCCUUCCAUGGCAUUGGGGUAUGGAAUUGCGGCCUUCCCAGAGCUGCUGGAUCAAGAGAUUAUGCAAAUGCCUUGGCCGCUGGAGGAGGCAAGGACUUGGAUCUGUUGCGGAGAACAUUUCAGAAGGCAAGUUUGUGUACAAGAACUUUACAAGAGCAGGUUUUUUCCCACAUCCAUGGUGAAUUCCCGUAUUGCUUGAUUGUGGCUCGCAAUGUACAUAUUGUAGAAGGGUGUAGUUUUUCCUCUGGAAACUUGCUUUGGAAGUGCUUCCCCCUGUUGAUCUACUUCACCAAUUUGGCCUCAGCUAUUCCUUAUGCUCUACUGUCAUGGUGGUGGUGAAUUCCUUGAUUGUGGUUGCCGCACGGUCCUUCGUGUGGCUGUCAAUUGCCCGAGUUGGAAUCAGGCCAAUGCCUUUGUUGAAUCUUCCCUGAUGACUGCUGCUGUUUCUAGUGCUCAAAGUAGAGCUUAUCUAUCUAUUUCUGGCAGAUGUGGAAAUCUCGGAACAAUGUAUAAUCUUCCAGAUUUCACCUCAACAGGUAGCCAGAAUUUUGCAAUGUUUAACAAAAUGUUAAUCAUAUUGAAGAUUUAAUUAAUUAUGUGUAUUUAUAUGUUUAAUGCAUAUUGUUCAUAUU